ACCUAGCCGACAGCUGGCGGCGUGCCUAAUACAUGCAAGUCGAGCGCAGGAAGCAAGCUGAUCCCCUUCGGGGGUGACGCUUGUGGAAUGAGCGGCGGACGGGUGAGUAACACGUGGGCAACCUGCCUGUAAGACUGGGAUAACCCCGGGAAACCGGGGCUAAUACCGGAUAAUACUUUCUUUUGCAUAAAGGAAAGUUGAAAGGCGGCUUCGGCUGUCACUUACAGAUGGGCCCGCGGCGCAUUAGCUAGUUGGUGAGGUAACGGCUCACCAAGGCGACGAUGCGUAGCCGACCUGAGAGGGUGAUCGGCCACACUGGGACUGAGACACGGCCCAGACUCCUACGGGAGGCAGCAGUAGGGAAUCUUCCGCAAUGGACGAAAGUCUGACGGAGCAACGCCGCGUGAGUGAUGAAGGUUUUCGGAUCGUAAAACUCUGUUGUUAGGGAAGAACAAGUUGGAUAGUAACUGACCCAACCUUGACGGUACCUAACCAGAAAGCCACGGCUAACUACGUGCCAGCAGCCGGUUAAAUA
rnacentral:rRNA from 1 species